rnacentral:rRNA from 1 species
GACGAACGCUGGCGGCGUGCUUAGCACAUGCAAGUCGAACGGAAAGGCCCUGCUUUUGUGGGGUGCUCGAGUGGCGAACGGGUGAGUAACACGUGAGUAACCUGCCCUUGACUUUGGGAUAACUUCAGGAAACUGGGGCUAAUACCGGAUAGGAGCUCCUGCUGCAUGGUGGGGGUUGGAAAGUUUCGGCGGUUGGGGAUGGACUCGCGGCUUAUCAGCUUGUUGGUGGGGUAGUGGCUUACCAAGGCUUUGACGGGUAGCCGGCCUGAGAGGGUGACCGGCCACAUUGGGACUGAGAUACGGCCCAGACUCCUACGGGAGGCAGCAGUGGGGAAUAUUGCACAAUGGGCGGAAGCCUGAUGCAGCAACGCCGCGUGCGGGAUGACGGCCUUCGGGUUGUAAACCGCUUUCGCCUGUGACGAAGCGUGAGUGACGGUAAUGGGUAAAGAAGCACCGGCUAACUACGUC